CCAGGCACGAAAAACAGCCAGGACGGAGGGCCCAGUGGGCGAGAGCUUGCGCUCGCGUCGAUGCCAUAACUCACAAGCCGUGGUAACUUAAGGACACCGUGCAAUAUGUGUACAUCUGCUCGGCACACUUCAUUUCUGAUUGGAUUGCAACGGAGAGCAAAGCCCUUCGCGGUGAGCUCGGCGCCACGAGACGAAACACGACACAGACACGAAAGAGGGAGAGAGAAAGCAUUCAGACAAACAGGUUUCCAAUCCCAAAAGUCUCUUACUGUAAAAAGCAGAAAAUGUAAACUUUUUUUCACUUUAGAAAUGUAACUGCUGAAUUUGCCGGUUUUGACUAAACUACUUUAUUUAUUUAUAUAUUUGUCUUAUGGCCUUGUCAUUCUUAAAAUGUGCAGCAAAAGGCUUGAACGUCGCCAAUCAUAUGGAAUCACAGGUGUAGGAACAGAGGGAAAAAAGAACCUUCAAUUUCUGGCCUUUCAACUCGAAAAAGCACACUGGCAAUAACAAUCAUAAAUUAUUAAAUAUAUAAAUAUACAUAAAAACAAGUCUGAUCACAUAAAUGUUUGUUAAAAAUAUUGUUUUACUUAAAGGAAUAGUUUGACAUUUACCUGAACUUUACACACUUAUUAGCAUUCUUGCUCAGAGUUGGAUGCAAUUGAGCGAAAGCACUCCUAAUGUUUGUAAUGUAAUAAUGCUACCGCUAGCUGCUAGUUAGCUUAGCACAAACACUGGAAACAUAGGAGAACAACUAGCCUUGCUCUGUUCAAACUAAGGCAACAAUACUUAUCAGCACUUCUGAAGCUCACUAAUAGAAUUAGGCAUUGUGUGGGUAAAUCCGUUAGAAAAACAAGUCGAAAGCAACAGCACUGCAAAGUUACUGACCAAGAAAUAUGGCCCCUAACCACAUAAACUACUUUUUUUUGGUACAGGAUGAUAUGAAAAAAGGUAAAUAAGUGAGUUUAAGCAUGAUUGGCAGAUUUUUUACCAACGGACAGGUUAGCUAUUUCCUGUGUUUCCUGUCUUUAAGUUAAGCUAAGCAGCUGCUAAUGUGAGCUUUGAAUAAGCAUUGGUCCCAAAAGCUCAAACUAUCCCUUUUAAUAUGAGUACAUUUAAUAGAGAUUUUGAAGGGGAAGGUUGUGGGAAGUCCAAGCCUUUUGCAGUUCUUACACAUAUGUGUGUGCUGCAUGUGUGAAAACAGCUAUUGAGCUGCUGAUAUUCAGAGUUUCAUCACCACCGACAAUUCUUACUUGUUUCUGAGCCGUAGCAUUUUAAUUCCUGCAUGAAUGCCCAGCGCUUUGGCAACCAGCCACGUACACUUGGUACAUUUCUAACCUUUGAUUGUUUUAUCCAAACUCUUUAUAUCUACAGCUCAUUGGAAAGUCAAACUGCAACUCAUUAUCUUUUAUUGUUUACCAGGUUUUUACUCAGAAAUAACAACAUAACACACCCUUGUCCUGUUUGAGAACACAGUCAACAUUCUUCAGCAAAUAAUAAAUACAAAAAUGAUGGCAGCUUCAAAUAAAUCAGUCCAUUAAAGAAUGGUUAUUCAGUAAACUGAGUAAAUACCUGGCAAACAACACUCUGUCCUGUGUGGAGGUUUACAUGAGGACAUUGGCCCGUGUGUCUGGCAGUCGGAGCCCCACCAACCCGCCGGCAACCAGCACAGACGAGGCCAGCAGGAUGGGGAUCGCCUUGGUGAUGCCAACCAGAGAGCCAAAGAUCAGGUUGCCCAGCACCGCCGCCAGCUUACACAUGGCAUUGCAGAAGCCGAAGCCUGUGCCCCUGAAAACAAUCGGACACAAAGGAGAGAGUCAGAAUUUAAAAUAGGCUGCAGUGGUUGGAGUAGAAUGUGUAAGCUCUGUAUUAGAAAAUAAUAGUGCAAUUUGUAUUCAGUAAAAUAAGUGUAAUGUUAAGGGGUGUACAGUGUCAGCCCAGUGUCUUCCUCAAAUAGUGUAACUUCAUGUGUAAGAAAGUUGAGGGCCCAGCUGCCAAGGCCUGUAUGCAGGAGUAGGGAGGUGUGUGUCUGUAUGUGUAGGAGGUUUCAUGAAAGGAGUAGGAGUAGCUAGAGAAUGUUCUCGCGAAUAUUAGAAAAAAACAAAAUAGGGGUAGAAGUAGCUGGAGGGCCUUCAGCCCUUAUUAGAAACACACUGAAGUCAGUAAAAAAUGUAGUCAAAUGUCAAAAACAUUGGAAUGACAGUUUGAAGAUGGAACAGCAGGGGUUAGGACUGUCUCAGUAUAAAAAGGAGAAAGCACGUUCACAUCUUUGGUCCAGUCGUCCGGAGACCGGCUCCAGUUCUCAUUCUUUUAAGAAUAAAACUAUAUGCAUCAAA